UGCCACAAAAGGAGUAAGGUUUCGUCGC
rnacentral:piRNA from 1 species